AUUGAACGCUGGCGGCAGGCCUAACACAUGCAAGUCGAACGAGUGGCGGACGGGUGAGUAAUGUCUGGGAAACUGCCUGAUGGAGGGGGAUAACUACUGGAAACGGUAGCUAAUACCGCAUACCAUCAGAUGUGCCCAGAUGGGAUUAGCUUGUCGGUGGGGUAACGGCUCACCAAGGCGACGAUCCCUCGCUGGUCGGAGAGGAUGACCAGCCACACGGGAACUGAGACACGGUCCAGACUCCUACGGGAGGCAGCAGUGGGGAAUAUUGCACAAUGGGCGAAAGCCUGAUGCAGCCAUGCCGCGUGUAUGAAGAAGGCCUUCGGGUUGUAAAAUACUUUCAGCGGGGAGGCGUUACCCGCAGAAGAAGCACCGGCUAACUCCGUGCCAGCAGCCGCGGUAAUAC
rnacentral:rRNA from 1 species